rnacentral:rRNA from 1 species
UACCCGCGGCCCGAGUGGUUGUCGAUAUUAUUGAGCCUAAAACGUCCGUAGCCGGUCUCGUAAAUCCCUGGGUAAAUCGGCCAGCUUAACUGUCCGAAUUCCGGGGAGACUGCGGGACUUGGGACCGGGAGAGGUCAGAGGUACUUCCGGGGUAGGGGUAAAAUCCUGUAAUCCUGGAAGGACCACCGGUGGCGAAGGCGUCUGACUAGAACGGAUCCGACGGUGAGGGACGAAGCCCUGGGGCGCAAACGGG